rnacentral:rRNA from 1 species
AGAGUUUGAUCCUGGCUCAGGACGAACGCUGGCGGCGCGCCUAACACAUGCAAGUCGAACGAGCGAGAGAGAGCUUGCUUUCUCGAGCGAGUGGCGAACGGGUGAGUAACGCGUGAGGAACCUGCCUCAAAGAGGGGGACAACAGUUGGAAACGACUGCUAAUACCGCAUAAGCCCACGGGUCGGCAUCGACCAGAGGGAAAAGGAGCAAUCCGCUUUGAGAUGGCCUCGCGUCCGAUUAGCUAGUUGGUGAGGUAACGGCCCACCAAGGCGACGAUCGGUAGCCGGACUGAGAGGUUGAACGGCCACAUUGGGACUGAGACACGGCCCAGACUCCUACGGGAGGCAGCAGUGGGGAAUAUUGCGCAAUGGGGGAAACCCUGAUGCAGCGACGCCGCGUGGAGGAAGAAGGUCUUCGGAUUGUAAACUCCUGUUGUUGGGGAAGAUAAUGACGGUACCCAACAAGGAAGUGACGGCUAACUACGUGCCAGCAGCCGCGGUAAAACGUAGGUCACAAGCGUUGUCCGGAAUUACUGGGUGUAAAGGGAGCGCAGGCGGGAAGACAAGUUGGAAGUGAAAUCUAUGGGCUCAACCCAUAAACUGCUUUCAAAACUGUUUUUCUUGAGUAGUGCAGAGGUAGGCGGAAUUCCCGGUGUAGCGGUGGAAUGCGUAGAUAUCGGGAGGAACACCAGUGGCGAAGGCGGCCUACUGGGCACCAACUGACGCUGAGGCUCGAAAGUGUGGGUAGCAAACAGGAUUAGAUACCCUGGUAGUCCACACCGUAAACGAUGAUUACUAGGUGUUGGAGGAUUGACCCCUUCAGUGCCGCAGUUAACACAAUAAGUAAUCCACCUGGGGAGUACGACCGCAAGGUUGAAACUCAAAGGAAUUGACGGGGGCCCGCACAAGCAGUGGAGUAUGUGGUUUAAUUCGACGCAACGCGAAGAACCUUACCAAGUCUUGACAUCCCUUGACAGACAUAGAAAUAUGUUUUCUCUUCGGAGCAAGGAGACAGGUGGUGCAUGGUUGUCGUCAGCUCGUGUCGUGAGAUGUUGGGUUAAGUCCCGCAACGAGCGCAACCCUUAUCCUUAGUAGCCAGCAGUAAGAUGGGCACUCUAGGGAGACUGCCAGGGAUAACCUGGAGGAAGGUGGGGAUGACGUCAAAUCAUCAUGCCCCUUAUGAUUUGGGCUACACACGUGCUACAAUGGCGUAAACAAAGGGAAGCGAGCCUGUGAGGGGGAGCAAAUCCCAAAAAUAACGUCCCAGUUCGGACUGUAGUCUGCAACCCGACUACACGAAGCUGGAAUCGCUAGUAAUCGCAGAUCAGAAUGCUGCGGUGAAUACGUUCCCGGGUCUUGUACAAACCGCCCGUCA